rnacentral:rRNA from 1 species
GAUGAACGCUGACGGCGUGCCUAAUACAUGCAAGUCGAGCGAACAGACGAGGAGCUUGCUCCUCUGACGUUAGCGGCGGACGGGUGAGUAACACGUGGAUAACCUACCUAUAAGACUGGGAUAACUUAGGGAAACCGGAGCUAAUACCGGAUAAUAUAUUGAACCGCAUGGUUCAAUAGUGAAAGACGGUUUUGCUGUCACUUAUAGAUGGAUCCGCGCCGCAUUAGCUAGUUGGUAAGGUAACGGCUUACCAAGGCAACGAUGCGUAGCCGACCUGAGAGGGUGAUCGGCCACACUGGAACUGAGACACGGUCCAGACUCCUACGGGAGGCAGCAGUAGGGAAUCUUCCGCAAUGGGCGAAAGCCUGACGGAGCAACGCCGCGUGAGUGAUGAAGGUCUUCGGAUCGUAAAACUCUGUUAUUAGGGAAGAACAAAUGUGUAAGUAACUAUGCACGUCUUGACGGUACCUAAUCAGAAAGCCACGGCUAACUACGUG